ACUCAAAUGAAUUGACGGGGACCCGCACAAGCGGUGGAGCGUGUUGUUUAAUUCGACGAUAAGCGAAGAACCUUACCAGGGUUUGACAUCCUUGGAAUUUUUGCGAAAGCAAAAAGUGCCUUUUGGAACCAAGUGACAGGUGAUGCAUGGCCGUCGUCAGCUCGUGUCGUGAGAUGUUGGGUUAAGUCCCGCAACGAGCGCAACCCUUAUGGUUAGUUGGAUUUCUCUAACCAGACUGCCUCGGCAACGGGGAGGAAGGAGGGGAUGAUGUCAGGUCAGUAUUUCCCUUACAUCCUGGGCUACAAACACGCUACAAUGGCCGGUACAGAGGGCAGCUAAGUCGCAAGACGGAGCAAAUCCCAUCAAAGCCGGUCUCAGUUCGGAUUGUAGGCUGAAACUCGCCUGCAUGAAGCCGGAAUCGCUAGUAACCGUAGGUCAGCACACUACGGUGAAUACGUUCCCGGGUCUUGUACACACCGCCCGU
rnacentral:rRNA from 1 species